rnacentral:rRNA from 1 species
UACGAAGGGGGCUAGCGUUGUCCGGAAUCAUUGGGCGUAAAGCGCGUGUAGGCGGCUCAGUCAGUCUGGUGUGAAACCUUGGGGCUCAACCCCAAGCCUGCACUGGAUACUGCUGAGCUUGAGUCCGGGAGGGGAGAGCGGAAUUCCUAGUGUAGCGGUGAAAUGCGCAGAUAUUAGGAAGAACACCGGUGGCGAAGGCGGCUCUCUGGAACGGUACUGACGCUGAGACGCGAAAGCGUGGGGAGCGAACAGG